rnacentral:rRNA from 1 species
CGCGUAGGCGGUCUUUUAAGUCAGGUGUGAAAGCCCGGGGCUCAACCCCGGAAGUGCACUUGAAACUAAGAGACUUGAGUAUGGGAGAGGGAAGUGGAAUUCCUGGUGUAGCGGUGAAAUGCGUAGAUAUCAGGAGGAACAUCGGUGGCGAAGGCGACUUCCUGGACCAAUACUGACGCUGAGGCGCGAAGGCGUGGGGAGCAAACA